rnacentral:rRNA from 1 species
UACAGAGGCCCCAAGCGUUACUGAGAAUCACUGGGUUUAAAGGGUGCGUAGGUGGCGCAUUAAGUCCGUUGUGAAAUCCCUUGGCUCAACCAAGGAAUGGCUUCGGAUACUGGCGUGCUUGAGGCCGGUAAGGGUCACUGGAACUGACGGUGGAGCGGUGAAAUGCGUAGAUAUCGUCAGGAACGCCAAUGGUGAAGACAGGUGACUGGGCCGGUUCUGACACUGAGGCACGAAAGCGUGGGGAGCGAACGGG